rnacentral:rRNA from 1 species
UUAAGGCCCCUGAAGGAACGUUUAAGACUAAGACGUUGAUAGGCUGGGUGUGUAAGUGCAGCGAUGCAUUGAGCUAACCAGUACUAAUGAACCGUGAGGCUUAACCUUACAACACCGAAGGUGUUU